rnacentral:rRNA from 1 species
UUUGAUCUGGCUCAGGACGAACGCUGGCGGCGUGCUUAACACAUGCAAGUCGAACGGAAAGGCCCUUCAGGGUACUCGAGUGGCGAACGGGUGAGUAACACGUGGGUGAUCUGCCCUGCACUUUGGGAUAAGCCUGGGAAACUGGGUCUAAUACCGAAUAGGAUCAUGCUCUUCAUGGGGUGUGGUGGAAAGCUUUUGCGGUGUGGGAUGGGCCCGCGGCCUAUCAGCUUGUUGGUGGGGUAAUGGCCUACCAAGGCGACGACGGGUAGCCGGCCUGAGAGGGUGACCGGCCACACUGGGACUGAGAUACGGCCCACACUCCUACGGGAGGCAGCAGUGGGGAAUAUUGCACAAUGGGCGCAAGCCUGAUGCAGCGACGCCGCGUGAGGGAUGACGGCCUUCGGGUUGUAAACCUCUUUCACCAGGGACGAAGCGCAAGUGACGGUACCUGGAGAAGAAGCACCGGCCCACUACGUGCCAGCAGCCGCGGUAAUACGUAGGGUGCGAGCGUUGUCCGGAAUUACUGGGCGUAAAGAGCUCGUAGGUGGUUUGUCGCGUUGUUCGUGAAAACUCACAACUCAAUUGUGGGCGUGCGGGCGAUACGGGCAGACUAGAGUACUGCAGGGGAGACUGGAAUUCCUGGUGUAGCGGUGGAAUGCGCAGAUAUCAGGAGGAACACCGGUGGCGAAGGCGGGUCUCUGGGCAGUAACUGACGCUGAGGAGCGAAAGCGUGGGGAGCGAACAGGAUUAGAUACCCUGGUAGUCCACGCCGUAAACGGUGGGUACUAGGUGUGGGUUCCUUCCUUGGGAUCCGUGCCGUAGCUAACGCAUUAAGUACCCCGCCUGGGGAGUACGGCCGCAAGGCUAAAACUCAAAGGAAUUGACGGGGGCCCGCACAAGCGGCGGAGCAUGUGGAUUAAUUCGAUGCAACGCGAAGAACCUUACCUGGGUUUGACAUGCACAGGACGCCGGCAGAGAUGUCGGUUCCCUUGUGGCCUGUGUGCAGGUGGUGCAUGGCUGUCGUCAGCUCGUGUCGUGAGAUGUUGGGUUAAGUCCCGCAACGAGCGCAACCCUUGUCCUAUGUUGCCAGCGGGUUAUGCCGGGGACUCGUAGGAGACUGCCGGGGUCAACUCGGAGGAAGGUGGGGAUGACGUCAAGUCAUCAUGCCCCUUAUGUCCAGGGCUUCACACAUGCUACAAUGGCCGGUACAAAGGGCUGCGAUGCCGUGAGGUGGAGCGAAUCCUUUCAAAGCCGGUCUCAGUUCGGAUCGGGGUCUGCAACUCGACCCCGUGAAGUCGGAGUCGCUAGUAAUCGCAGAUCAGCAACGCUGCGGUGAAUACGUUCCCG